AAAACUCUUCCAGAAUGUCUGAGAUCUCCUCUGCCACUACUUCGCCAGUUUGCGAUUUGUACACUGCCCUGGUGUGGAGGACCUUCUGUUUUACAUGGCACCUGACUUGUGUAGUGAACUGUAACAGUGAGAUAGUGGUCCUGACAGAGGCUGGUCCACCCGUCUGAUGUGAUGGCCAGCUUUGGCACGUCCUUCAGCUCAGUGAUCACAUUGGCCUUUUCUACACCACACCAGUCUCCAGGGUGUGGGAGCGUAAUCUACGCAGCAACAGCGCCGGACACCAAGGAGCGCCAAGAGGCUGGGACCAGCCUUGAGCGCCGGCGAUGGGCUGAGCACGUUUAAACCACGCUCAGCCUCUACUGUGAUAGCCCAACAGACGGGUUGGAACUACAUCUAUCACAAUUUGAAUUGAUGCAAAUCCUUAAUAUGGUGACCCCCGGCAGUGAUCUGGUGAAGGACUUCGCUGGACAUUGGCGUGCCAGCCAAUUGACCAUUACUGUCGUCAGACGGUGUCUCACAACUCCAGACCGGUCAACUCCAAAGUUACUCACCCGGAUCAUUCACCCCAUUCCCGCCUGGUCGACGGAGGAUUCCGCUACUCCAUUGGAUUCACCUAUUUACUCCCAUCCACUCAUCUCCGCUGCCCGCUACGCCACCUGGAUAUAUCUACUCAUUCACAUUCACUUGUAAAUAAAUACUCACCUUCUUUCUA